AGUGAACGCUGGCGGCGUGCCUAAUACAUGCAAGUCGAACGGAGUGGCGCACGGGUGAGUAAUAUAUAGAUAAUCUGCCCCUUGCUGGAGGACAACAGUUAGAAAUGACUGCUAAUACUCCAUAGCAAGGGAUGAGCCUAUAUCGUAUCAGCUAGUCGGGGGGGUAACGGCCUACCGAGGCUAUGACGCGUAACUGGUCUGAGAGGAUGCUCAGGUACAUUGGAACUGAGACACGGUCCAAACUCCUAAGGGAGGCAGCAGUAGGGAAUAUUGCGCAAUGGGGGAUACCCUGACGCAGCAACGCCGCUAGGAGGAUGACACUUUUCUGAGCGUAAACGCCUUUGGUUAGGGAAGCGGUACCUAACGAAUAAGCACCGGCUAACGACGUGCCAGCAGCCGCGGUAAUAC
rnacentral:rRNA from 1 species